rnacentral:lncRNA from 1 species
AAUCACAACUUCUCCGUAAUUGGUCGACGUGACCACCGUUUUUCUCAGAGCAGCUUGCUUCGUCUUCUCCGUUGGGUCUGGUGAAUUCCUGACUCUGAUUCUCGCAUGAUUUUCCCGGAAAAUCGACACUUUCUUUAUGGGUUUUCAUAUGCGAGAGAGAAUUAAUCGAAUCUGCUUCAUUUGAAUCCAUACACUCUCUAAAAACCCUAACUUUCUCUUUCGUCUCUGUUUCAGAUCCAUCACCGUCGAUUUCCUCCAAACCCCGAUUAAUCUCAAUUCUUACAUCUGAAUUCAGGUCUCUGUUGUCUGAAUCAUCCCUCUCUUUGAAAUCAGAUUCAUCCCUCUCUCUCCCAAGAUGAUCUUGACCUUCUUC